rnacentral:rRNA from 1 species
UACAGAGGUCUCAAGCGUUGUCCGGAUUCAUUGGGCGUAAAGGGUGCGUAGGUGGCGCUGUAAGUCGGGUGUGAAAUUUCGAGGCUUAACCUCGAAACUGCAUUCGAUACUGCGGUGCUUGAGGACUGGAGAGGAGACUGGAAUUCAUGGUGUAGCAGUGAAAUGCGUAGAGAUCAUGAGGAAGACCAGUGGCGAAGGCGGGUCUCUGGACAGUUCCUGACACUGAGGCACGAAGGCCAGGGGAGCAAACGGG